CUGAGCCCCACUUUUGUACCGAGUAAUUCUAUAAUUUUAUAGAAAAUUUUAUGUUAAAACUAGUAACAAGAAGAACCACUUCUCUUUUAUGCAAGCUUAAGUCAGCAAGGACCAACCACUGACAAUUAACAUCCCUGAGUUUAUAGUAAAAACAUUACAAGAAAACCCUACUGUUUAAGAUGUUAACCUAACACAAGAGCAUUUCAAGAAAGAUUAAAAGAAAAAGAAGGAACUCGGCAAACAUUAACCCCGCCUGUUUACCAAAAACAUCGCCUCUUGAAACCUAUAAGAGGUCCAGCCUGCCCAGUGACUUUGUUCAACGGCCGCGGUAUCCUAACCGUGCGAAGGUAGCGUAAUCACUUGUUCUUUAAAUGAGGACUAGUAUGAAUGGCACCACGAAGGUUAUACUGUCUCCUUUUUCUAAUCAGUGAAACUAAUCUUCCCGUGAAGAAGCGGGAAUAAAAAUAUAAGACGAGAAGACCCUAUGGAGCUUUAAACAAAUAUACAAUUGCCCCCUCUAAUAAAAAUUUCAGAAAAGACACUUCUAUUUGGGCACUUUGAUAUAAAGUUUUAGGUUGGGGUGACCACGGAGUAAAAAACAACCUCCGCAGUGAAAGAGGCUUUCCCUCUAAGCCAAGGACUACAACCCUAAGAAUCAACAAAUUGACACUAAUUGACCCAAUUAAUUGAUCAAUGAACCAAGUUACCCUAGGGAUAACAGCGCAAUCCACUUCAAGAGCCCCUAUCGACAAGUGGGUUUACGACCUCGAUGUUGGAUCAGGGUAUCCUAGUGGUGCAGCCGCUACUAACGGUUCGUUUGUUCAACGAUUAAAACCCUACGUGAUCUGAGUUCAGACCGGAGUAAUCCAGGUCAGUUUCUAUCUAUAAAGAGCUUUUUCUAGUACGAAAGGACCGAAAAAGCACGGCCUAUACCUCAAGCAAGCCGUAACAACCAACUUAUGACAUAGUCUUAAUAAAAUUAUGUAUAUCAACAAGCCCAAGAAAAAGGG
rnacentral:rRNA from 1 species